UUUUAAACCCUAAAAAGAACAUUUUCUUUCUUUCUUUGACAUUGCGCCGUAAUGUUCUCCUUCUGCCCUCCUAUGGCGAUGAAACAAAGGAGCUUCAACGACGCCACACCGAACGUGGAACAACGGGACAGCUGCUGCGACAUGAGGACGUGUGCGGCGCUGGGAAAACUGCCUGGAACUUUCUGGGCCACUCUGUAAUUGGGCUAGGGUUAAUGGUUUGGUCUUUAUUGGGUUCAAUUGGUUUAAUGGGUUUAGGUUAUUUGAGACUCGAACUCAUAGGGAAGAAAAUAGAUUUAUGGAUGGAAUCAAAUAUGUAGUAGUUACAGACAAAAGUAUUCGGUUAUUGGUGAAAAAUCAAUAUACUUCUAAUGUCGAAUCAGGAUCAACUAGGACAGAAAUAAAGCAUUGGGUCGAACUCUUCUUAUUUGUAAAAAUGGAUUAUGUAUUUAUUUGGGCCCGGGUAAAAAUGGCCUAUUACAUAUGUAAUUUGAGAUUGUGAGGUUUUGGUGGAAGUACGAGAACAAUGGGAAGCUUGAGCAUGAAUGGGGAAGGAGGUGAAAGGAUGAAUGUUGUUUUGCAAAGUUUCUCUCUUUUGUUUGGUUGACCAAAAAAUCUAGUAAAAUGAAAGAAAAGUUUGAACUUUUUUUUUCUAAUUUUUUAA